UGGGGGAUAUUGCACAAUGGGGGGAACCCUGAUGCAGCGACGCCGCGUGAGGGAAGAAGGUUUUCGGAUUGUAAACCUCUGUCCUCAGGGAAGAAGAUGACGGUACCUGAGGAGGAAGCCACGGCUAACUACGUGCCAGCAGCCGCGGUAAUACGUAGGUGGCAAGCGUUGUCCGGAAUUACUGGGUGUAAAGGGAGCGUAGGCGGGGAGACAAGUUGAAUGUGAAACCUCCGGGCUUAACCCGGAGCAUGCGUUCAAAACUGUAGCUCUUGAGUGAAGUAGAGGUAGGCGGAAUUCCUAGUGUAGCGGUGAAAUGCGUAGAUAUUAGGAGGAACACCAGUGGCGAAGGCGGCCUACUGGGCUUUAACUGACGCUGAGGCUCGAAAGCGUGGGUAGCAAACA
rnacentral:rRNA from 1 species